rnacentral:rRNA from 1 species
UUCCAGACUCCUACGGGAGGCAGCAGUGGGGAAUCUUCCGCAAUGGGCGAAAGCCUGACGGAGCAACGCCGCGUGAUCGAAUGAAGGCCUUCGGGUUGUAAAGAUCUGUUGACAGGGACGAAUAAGCCAUGCGAAUAGUUUGGUGUAUGACGGUACCUGUUUAGAAAGCUCCGGCUAACUACGUGCCAGCAGCCGCGGUAAUACGUAGGGAGCAAGCGUUGUCCGGAAUUACUGGGCGUAAAGGGCGCGUAGGUGGGUGCUUAAGUCAGGUGUGAAAACUCUGGGCUCAACCUGGAGACUGCACUUGAAACUGGGUAUCUUGAGGGCAGGAGAGGAAAGUGGAAUUCCUAGUGUAGCGGUGAAAUGCGUAGAUAUUAGGAGGAACACCAGUGGCGAAGGCGACUUACUGGACUGUAACUGACGUUGAGGCACGAAAGUGUGGGGAGCAAACAGGAUUAGAUACCCUCGUAAAC